rnacentral:lncRNA from 1 species
AUUAAUCCUUGGCAUGCAUCUUAUGCUGGAGCAAGAGGUUACCUGCAGCAUCUGAAUCAAUUCUUGUAUACUGCAUGGUGAUGAUGCUAUGUUUCACCAUCUGCAUUCUGCAGGCCAUCACAUCACUUUUGAACAAAAGUAUGCUUGUCUGUCUGCCCUGAUUUGCUUAAGGUGUCUCAGUAUGCAUCUACUUCUGAGCUGUUUUGUUGUGUCUUUGCCAAUCAGUUGGUAGGUGUCUGACUAAUCAUCUAAUGAAAAGCCUUUUUUUUGGUAACAAUCUAAUGAAAAGAUUUUAGCACAUUCUGACUCCACAGUAGACAGAACAGCUGUUCUUUUGGAGUUGCAAGGGAUGGUAGUGGGAACUGUUUUAGAUGCCUUCGUUCCAUUUUAUACAUUUUUGUGCUUUAUCUAUAAUUCAUGUUUGGUGAAUCCGACCCUGGUUGAUGCUGUUUUCUAUUAUUGUUUUUUAAAUUUCUUGUUGUUGUAAGCUUUGUGGGCUGGAACGGCCAUUAUCUGAUGAAUAUUUGGUGCACUCUGACAGUCCCAGGUUGUCUGAAGCAUUUUCAAUUUAUUCAAGUCCACCUUGUCAUGUGCAUUGUUGUGUGGACCAUCAUGAUUGUCGUUUUUGGAGCAUAACUAAUUAUCCUAUUAGGUCAAAAUUCUCUAUCGGUGUAACAUGAAAUCCCAGUGACUUGGUAUACUAGCAUAUGAUAUGUUCUCUCUCUGCGGGCGCACUUAUUGAACGGUUGUUACUUAAGAUACUUAGCAUCAUCUUAAACUAAAGUGUGUGGCUGCAUAUAUAUAUAUAUAUAUAUAUAUAUAUAACACUAUGAUGUGUCAUCUGCAGUAGGAUUUGGGUUGUGUUUUUGUAUGGAAGAAUGAUUGAUCUCAAUCAUUGGAUCAUAUUUUGCAUAACUUUAAAUGAUGAUAGAUUUGUUCCUUCUAUAGUAC